CCUACGGGAGGCAGCAGUGGGGAAUUUUGGACAAUGGGCGCAAGCCUGAUCCAGCAAUGCCGCGUGCAGGAUGAAGGCCUUCGGGUUGUAAACUGCUUUUGUACGGAGCGAAACGGUCUGCUUUAAUACAGUAGGCUAAUGACGGUACCGUAAGAAUAAGCACCGGCUAACUACGUGCCAGCAGCCGCGGUAAUACGUAGGGUGCGAGCGUUAAUCGGAAUUACUGGGCGUAAAGCGUGCGCAGGCGGUUAUAUAAGACAGAUGUGAAAUCCCCGGGCUCAACCUGGGACCUGCAUUUGUGACUGUAUAGCUAGAGUACGGUAGAGGGGGAUGGAAUUCCGCGUGUAGCAGUGAAAUGCGUAGAUAUGCGGAGGAACACCGAUGGCGAAGGCAAUCCCCUGGACCUGUACUGACGCUCAUGCACGAAAGCGUGGGGAGCAAACAGGAUUAGAUACCCUGGUAGUCCACGCCCUAAACGAUGUCAACUGGUUGUUGGGUCUUCACUGACUCAGUAACGAAGCUAACGCGUGAAGUUGACCGCCUGGGGAGUACGGCCGCAAGGUUGAAACUCAAAAUGAAAUUGACGG
rnacentral:rRNA from 1 species